rnacentral:rRNA from 1 species
GCCGCCGUCCCACCUGACCCCAUGCCGAACUCAGAAGUGAAACGCCGUAGCGCCGAUGGUAGUGUGGGGUCUCCCCAUGCGAGAGUAGGGAACUGCCAGGC